rnacentral:rRNA from 1 species
GACGAACGCUGGCGGCGUGCUUAACACAUGCAAGUCGAACGGAAAGGCCCUGCUUUUGUGGGGUGCUCGAGUGGCGAACGGGUGAGUAACACGUGAGUAACCUGCCCUUGACUUUGGUAUAACUUCAGGAAACUGGGGCUAAUACUGGAUAGGAGCUCCUGCUGCAUGGUGGGGGUUGGAAAGUUUCGGCGGUUGGGGAUGGACUCGCGGCUUAUCAGCUUGUUGGUGGGGUAGUGGCUUACCAAGGCUUUGACGGGUAGCCGGCCUGAGAGGGUGACCGGCCACAUUGGGACUGCGAUACGGCCCAGACUCCUACGGGAGGCAGCAGUGGGGAAUAUUGCGCAAUGGGCGGAAGCCUGAUGCAGCAACGCCGCGUGCGGGAUGACGGCCUUCGGGUUGUAAACCGCUUUCGCCUGUGACGAAGCGUGAGUGACGGUAAUGGGUAAAGAAGCACCGGCUAACUACGUG